AUUGAACGCUGGCGGCAGGCUUAACACAUGCAAGUCGAGCGAGCGGCGGACGGGGGAGUAAUGUCUGGGAAACUGCCUGAUGGAGGGGGAUAAAUACUGUAAACGGUAGAUAAUACAGCAUACCAUCGGAUGUGCCCUGAUGGGAUUAGCUAGUAGGUGGGGUAAAGGCUCACCUAGGCGACGAUCCCUAGCUGGGCUGAGAGGAUGACAGGCCACACUGGAAUGGAGACACGGUCCAGACUCCUACGGGAGGCAGCAGUGGGGAAGAUUGCACAAUGGGUGCAAGCCAGAUGGAGCCAUGCCGGGUGUAUGAAGGAGGCCUUCGUGUUGUAAAGUACUUUCAGCGGGGAGGCGUUACCCACAAAAGAAGCACCGGCUAACUCCGUGCCAGCGGCGCGGUAAUUC
rnacentral:rRNA from 1 species